rnacentral:rRNA from 1 species
AUUGAACGCUGGCGGCAGGCCUAACACAUGCAAGUCGAGCGAGCGGCGGACGGGUGAGUAAUGUCUGGGAAACUGCCUGAUGGAGGGGGAUAACUACUGGAAACGGUAGCUAAUACCGCAUACCAUCAGAUGUGCCCAGAUGGGAUUAGCUAGUAGGGGGGGUAACGGCUCACCUAGGCGACGAUCCCUAGCUGGUCUGAGAGGCUGAUCAGCCACACUGGCACUGAGAAACGGGCCAGAUUCCGACGGUAGGCAGCAGUGGGGAAUAUUGCACAAUGGGCGCAAGCCGGAGGCAGCCAUGCCGCGUGUGUGAAGAAGGCCUUCGGGUUGUAAAGCACUUUCAGCGGGGAGGCGUUACCCGCAGAAGAAGCACCGGCUAACUCCGUGCCAGCCGCCGCGGUAAUAC